UAAUAAAAAAAUAACCAUAAACGAACGAUAACCCAAAUCAUUGAACUAUUCCACAAAUGGUUUGGAUGAUACCCAGAACACGUCGUUAAGCAAAUUAACCAUACAAUUUUUAUUAGGGAAGCGGUGCAUUUUGACGGUUCGAUUGGAACAACUUUUGACAGACGUCCAUACUUUUACUGUAGGGCUUUACACACGAAUUGCCGGCGACAAAGUGACGUCAUUUGACAUUGGGCGACUUAAAGACUGACGUUUUUAAAUUGGUGUAUUUUUUUUUGUCGUGCGCUCAGCCAUCUUGUCUGGUUUGUUUAUAAACAAACUAGACAAGAUGGCUGAGUGCACGGAGCGCACCGCAAAUUCCUUCACCCGAGCCGCGAAGGAAAUUAGCAACUUUAACACCGGCUGCUUCCAAUAAUUCCGGAGGUGUUCGGAAAUUGAAUAGAGGUAAGCUGAGCCGGCUGCUUCCAAUAAUUCCGGAUUAAGGGACGGGUACGGAAAUUGAAUAGAGCCGGCUGCUUCCAAUAAUUCCGGAGGUGUUCGGGAAUAGAGUGGCAACCACUUACGCCAGGGAGGCAAUUGAACACCUAGACCUGGACUCAUCAACUCAAGGGCCAGGAUCCACGGCUGUGCUUCUUUUCGAAGGAAGGCAUGACACCACCAAAGCAACCAAGGAAGUCAUCAAUCACCACCAACUGACGAGUUUCGUUUGUGGUU